GUAGGUGACGUUUCCAGUUGGGACCUUUCUUCAGACCGAUAAACUUAUGAGGGGAAACAGAUUGAAUGCCCCAGGGUUGGGGAAUUAAGAACCAGAGGACAUAGGUUUAAGGUGAGAGGACCAACAUUUAAUAGGAACCUGAGGGACAUAUUUUUCACUCCGCGGUGGGUAAAUGGAAUUAGCUGCCAGAGGUGGUACUAAAGUGCUGGUGUAACUCAAUGGGUCAGGCAGUAUCUCUGGAGAACAUGGGUAGAUAAUGUAUUAGGUCAGGGCCUUAAUUCAUUUGAUAAGUAAGGGUUUCAGGGAUUAUAGGGCGAAGGCAGAAGAAUGGCGUUGAGAGGGAAAGACAGAUCAGCCACGAUUGAAAGCUGAGUAGACUUGAUGGGCCAAACAGCCUCUAAUUCUGCUCUGAAAAAUUAUGGACUUCAUUAGUAGACUCUGGUGAUGCUGGUGGAGGGGGUGAGAUGGGAUAGUAGGGGAUCAAAACACUACCGAGCAAAUCUGAGCAUUCUGACAUCAGAAUAAGGAAAACGUUACUGUAAUAUAAUCAGCACACAUUUUAAUAAGAAAAUGUAUCCCAUUGAAAGAGGAAAGUAGAAGUUUAAUCAAUGUGGGAGAUAUAGUUGAAGCAACUGCCAAAUAUGAAAUGCUCUUUGUUAAAGAUAUUAUAUGAUAUAAUGAUAGUAUGUUUAUAAUGUAACAUUGGUGAGGAUGUGGCUGUGGAUUUUGUGUGGUAUCGAUACGAUACGAUACGAUAGAACUUUAUUUAUCUCAGGAGGGAAAUUGAUCUGCCAACAGCCAUAAAACACAAGAUCCAUGAAACAUAAAAUUAAAAUGAUGAGUGGAAAGGAUUGGGGAUUGGUUUCAGUAUUUGUAAUGCAAGGAAGGCAGAUGUCUUGCUACAAAGGGCAUGGGCUACAGGAGUACGGACUUGCUGCAACUAUGCAGGGAUUUGGUGAGACCACAGCUGGAGUACCCUGUAUAGCUUUGGUCUCCUUGUUGCUUCAGUGUAAUGAAGGUUCUCUUAAUUGAUUCCUGGCAGGGUGUUUAACCUACGGGUAAAGACUGAGAAGAAUGGGCCUCUAUCCAUUGGAGUUUAGAAGGGAUCAUUAUAUUGUCAAGAUUCUGCCCCUUGGAAGUAAGAAAUAUAUGGUGUGUUACAAGGCUACUGACUACAAACAUUGACGAUCUUUCUCUCUUUGUGGCAGUUGUCUGAUCUGCUGCGCAUUUCCAGCAUUUUCAAUUUUUAUUUCAGAUUCUGAGAAUGAGAACAUUUUCCCUGAUGUGAAAAUCCAAACCAGCCACUAAUGGCCGACAUGAUCAAGGGAUUUCUUCUUGGAGAGGAUAUUUCACAAUUUUUGGCGUUUUUGGUAAUGCAUUUGGAAUCCAAAGACUCUUUUGCUAUCAGUAUUUGCAUACUGCAUCAACAAUGAACCAGAAAUAAGAUGUCUCCGAAGAAGAAAUGCAAAAUUGUCAAUCCAAAUGCCCAGCAAAAGAGACUGAUUUAGACAGCAUUCGCAGAGAUUAUCCGAAUUUAGACUACUCCAAAUGUGAUGAUCUACAGGACAUUCUUAAUGGGAAAGUAGUGGGCAGAAAGACAUGUCAUGCAUGGUUUGAAGAGCAAAAACCUGUAGUUUACAAUGCCAAAAUUGAAAAGUCGAGGAAAAACAAAGUGUACAGAGUUGCUUAUGGGUUACAAUCUGAGGAGUAUGAUGAUGCUACUGAUUAUGAUAUGCCAAUGUACCAGCUAGCAACUGAUCUUCUCCAUAAAGACUUGGUCUAUUACUAGAAAUUGUAAUUUAUUUACCUAUCUGUUACAGACUUACAGCAUAUAAUACAAUAAUAUUAAAGUUCUGAUCUUGAG